ACCAUUAUUAAAUUGAAAUGGAUAAUGAGGAGCACCCCACGCAGCAGGCACCACCACCAUCACCCCAGCAAGAGCAGCCUCAGCAAGAGCAGCCCCAGCAUGAGCGAGCCCGGCAAGAGCAGCCCCAACAAGGAAACAAUGAGAUUCCGAUGCUUCUCAAUGCAAAUCUGCAGGAAGGACUCAACCUAGUGCAGAGAAUCUAUGGUCAAUAACCUCAUGGAGACGGCCAACGAGGUGGCAGAGCUGCUGGAGAGGGUCGGAGAGUCAAUGGUGAAGGAAGAGGAGGAAAUGCACAGAACAGAAGGAAUGGAGGGGACAGAGGAAAUCUAAGAGGGAGAGGGAAUCAUGUAACUCAAGGUGGAGGUCACGGAGGGAAUGGAAAAGAGGCCGACAAUAAUCGCGGAGGGAGAGGUGCUGGGAUUAAUGCAGGAGGAAGAGGCGAAGGGAGAGGGAAGAAGAGAGCUGGGAAGAAUCUGGAUCCCUGUAAUGCUCUAUGUCCUGGCAAGGAUUCCAGGAUGAAUCCUAAAUAUCGUUUGGGUGACGAAACAUUCUUCCCCACAUCGUUGAAGAUUAGUGUGAAAAAAUGAAAAUGUACUUAUAGCAUUACUUAUUAAAAGAUCUCAUCAGAAAAAUAAAGUGAAAUGAAACGUGUA